rnacentral:rRNA from 1 species
AUUGAACGCUGGCGGCAUGCCUUACACAUGCAAGUCGAACGUGAAAGCGGGGCAACCCGCAAGUAGAGUGGCGGACGGGUGAGUAAUACAUCGGAACGUGUCCAGUAAUGGGGGAUAACCUAGCGAAAGUUAGGCUAAUACCGCAUACGAUCUACGGAUGAAAGCGGGGGAUGCGGCACUAAAGGCUUUUGGCGAAGGUGGCCAAAGGUGAGUCAAGAGCUUUUAGUGCUGCACCUCGCGUUAUUGGAGCGGCUGAUGUCUGAUUAGCUAGUUGGUGAGGUAAAGGCUUACCAAGGCGACGAUCAGUAGCUGGUCUGAGAGGACGGCCAGCCACACUGGGACUGAGACACGGCCCAGACUCCUACGGGGCAGCAGUGGGAACUUUGGACAAGUGGGGCAACCCUGAUCCAGCCAUGCCGCGUGAGUGAG